rnacentral:rRNA from 1 species
GAUGAACGCUGGCGGCGUGCCUAAUACAUGCAAGUCGAGCGAACGGACGAGAAGCUUGCUUCUCUGAUGUUAGCGGCGGACGGGUGAGUAACACGUGGAUAACCUACCUAUAAGACUGGGAUAACUUCGGGAAACCGGAGCUAAUACCGGAUAAUAUUUUGAACCGCAUGGUUCAAAAGUGAAAUACGGUCUUGCGGUCACUUAUAGAUGGAUCCCGGCUGCAUUAGCUGGUUGUUAAGGUAACGGCUUACCAAGGCAACUAUGCAUAGCCGACCUGAGAGGGUGAUCGGCCACACUGGAACUGAGCCACGGUCCAGACUCCUACGGGAGGCAGCAGUAGGGAAUCUUCCGCAAUGGGCGAAAGCCUGACGGAGCAACGCCGCGUGAGUGAUGAAGGUCUUCGGAUCGUAAAACUCUGUUAUUAGGGAAGAACAUAUGUGUAAGUAACUGUGCACAUCUUGACGGUACCUAAUCAGAAAGCCACGGCUAACUACGUG